UGCCCCAGAGCUGGGUCUCAGCCAGCCUUAGGGACAGUGUCAGGGCAGGGGACCCAUUGGUGGCACCUCCUGCUCCUCUCCUGACCCACAAGGCUGUGACAGAGGAGCCCCGUGUGCCACUGCCACCUUCACCCAGGGCAUACGGUAGGCACAGUCUCUAAAGACAUCCUUACAAGUUAAUUAAUUAUGUUUACAUUAUUUGAUCAUGUACAGAAUUUAAUAUAUUCUAUUAUAUAUAAUCUUUCUUGAAUGCUUUUUUAAAAAAGGAUUAUUUGGUCAGGAUCAUUACCGCAUUCCUUUUAUAAACACCACCUCUCCUUUCAGGCAUCUUUCAAAUCCUUGGAAACUGAUUGCAAAUGGCUCUUUAACCCCUGAACCCCCAGUUCAGCACGUGGUGUGAGGGACCCAGAGGCAGGAGCAAACUGGGGCCUCUGCACCCCAGGAAAGGGAGAAAGGGAAGGGUCCUGGCUCUUUCAGGCAUCUGACCUCCAGGAACGGGAGACAGGGAUGGAGUCCUGGGUUCUCCAGGUGUCUGACCUCCAGGAAAGGGAGAAAGGGAAGGGUUCCUGGUUCUUCCAGGCAUCUACCCUUCAGGCACAGAUCCAGCAGCACACCAGCAUGCCGGGCAGCAGUGGGGCAUUUGGAGAUGGGAUUCUCCCAUGCUGUGGUCCCUGAGUCCCCUGCGGUGUCACAGACACUGGCUGGCCAUCAGUGUGACGGGAGAGCCCCAGCAGCAGGAGGGAAGUGUCCCCAGCACUGGAGGGAGGUGUCCCUUUGUACCCAAAAGAGAAGGGAGGUGUCCCAGCACAGGAGAGAAGUGUCCCUGUGUCCCCAGAAGGAGGAGGGAAGUGUC
rnacentral:lncRNA from 1 species